rnacentral:rRNA from 1 species
UACGUAGGGCGCGAGCGUUGUCCGGAAUCACUGGGCGUAAAGAGCUCGUAGGCGGCCGGUCGCGUCUGCUGUGAAAUCCCGGGGCUUAACCCCGGGCGUGCAGUGGAUACGGGCUGGCUGGAGGGAGGCAGGGGAGAAUGGAAUUCCCGGUGUAGCGGUGAAAUGCGCAGAUAUCGGGAGGAACACCGGUGGCGAAGGCGGUUCUCUGGGCCUGUGCUGACGCUGAGGAGCGAAAGCGUGGGGAGCGAACAGG